UACGGUGGGAGCAAGCGUUGUUCUGAUUUACUGGGCGUAAAGGGCGCGUAGGCGGUCAGCACAAGUCAGUUGUGAAAUCUCCGAGCUUAACUCGGAAAGGUCAACUGAUACUGUGCGACUAGAGUGCGGAAGGGGCAACUGGAAUUCUUGGUGUAGCGGUGAAAUGCGUAGAUAUCAAGAGGAACACCUGCGGCGAAGGCGGGUUGCUGGGCCGACACUGACGCUGAGGCGCGAAAGCUAGGGGAGCGAACAGG
rnacentral:rRNA from 1 species